rnacentral:misc_RNA from 1 species
UCAAGGACCCGCUUAAAGGUUUGCCGCGCUCUAUCAAACUGACCGAGUCUGUAGCGACAUAGACCUAUACCAAGUCUUACCGCUGCAGGGCAAUUAGGAUACAGUCGCAAUACUUUCUUGUAAAAUUUCAACGAGUUCCUAUAUGACUCCGCAGCUUUGAUAUAAUUAUUCUCUUUCUCGCCAUAAAUAAAUUGAACACAAGCCUG